CGGUGUGGUUCAUGACUGGGGUGAAGUCGUAACAAGGUAGCCCUAGGGGAACCUGGGGCUGGAUCACCUCCUUA
rnacentral:rRNA from 1 species